CCCCGCCUAGCUCAAUCGGAUAGAGCGUCAGACUUUUAAGAGGUCCGUAAGGGCGGUAUUUGAGAUCUGAAGGCUGCGAGUUCGACCCUCGCGGUGGGCU